UGCAUAUCAAAAAAGCGGAGGAAAAGAAACUAACAAGGAUUCCCCUAGUAACUGCGAGUGAAGCGGGAAAAGCUCAAAUUUAAAAUCUGGUGGUCUUCUGGCCAUCCGAGUUGUAAUCUAGAGAAGUGUUAUCCGUGCUGGACCGUGUACAAGUCCCCUGGAAUGGGGCGUCAUAGAGGGUGAGAAUCCCGUCUUUGACACGGACUACCAGGGCUUUGUGAUGCACUCUCAACGAGUCGAGUUGUUUGGGAAUGCAGCUCAAAAUGGGUGGUAAAUUCCAUCUAAAGCUAAAUAUUGGCGAGAGACCGAUAGCGAACAAGUACCGUGAGGGAAAGAUGAAAAGAACUUUGGAAAGAGAGUUAAACAGUACGUGAAAUUGUUGAAAGGGAAACGCUUGAAGUCAGUCGCGUCGGCCGGGGAUCAACCUUGCUUUUGUGAGGCGUACUUCCUGGUUGACGGGUCAGCAUCAGUUUUGGCUGCUGGACAAAGGUCAGGGAAAUGUGGCACCUUCGGGUGUGUUAUAGUCUCUGAUCAUAUACAGUGGCUGGGACUGAGGAACUCAGCACGCCGAAAGGCCGGGGUUCGCCCACGUUCGUGCUUAGGAUGCUGGCAAAAUGGCUUUAAUCGACCCGUCUUGAAACACGGCCAAAGGGAGUCA
rnacentral:rRNA from 1 species